rnacentral:rRNA from 1 species
GCUGACGAGUGGCGGACGGGUGAGUAAUGUCUGGGAAACUGCCUGAUGGAGGGGGAUAACUACUGGAAACGGUGGCUAAUACCGCAUAACGUCGCAAGACCAAAGAGGGGGACCUUCGGGCCUCUUGCCAUCAGAUGUGCCCAGAUGGGAUUAGCUUGUUGGUGAGGUAACGGCUCACCAAGGCGACGAUCCCUAGCUGGUCUGAGAGGAUGACCAGCCACACUGGAACUGAGACACGGUCCAGACUCCUACGGGAGGCAGCAGUGGGGAAUAUUGCACAAUGGGCGCAAGCCUGAUGCAGCCAUGCCGCGUGUAUGAAGAAGGCCUUCGGGUUGUAAAGUACUUUCAGCGGGGAGGAAGGUGUUGUGGUUAAUAACCGCAGCAAUUGACGUUACCCGCAGAAGAAGCACCGGCUAACUCCGUGCCAGCAGCCGCGGUAAUACGGAGGGUGCAAGCGUUAAUCGGAAUUACUGGGCGUAAAGCGCACGCAGGCGGUCUGUCAAGUCGGAUGUGAAAUCCCCGGGCUCAACCUGGGAACUGCAUUCGAAACUGGCAGGCUUGAGUCUUGUAGAGGGGGGUAGAAUUCCAGGUGUAGCGGUGAAAUGCGUAGAGAUCUGGAGGAAUACCGGUGGCGAAGGCGGCCCCCUGGACAAAGACUGACGCUCAGGUGCGAAAGCGUGGGGAGCAAACAGGAUUAGAUACCCUGGUAGUCCACGCCGUAAACGAUGUCUACUUGGAGGUUGUGCCCUUGAGGCGUGGCUUCCGGAGCUAACGCGUUAAGUAGACCGCCUGGGGAGUACGGCCGCAAGGUUAAAACUCAAAUGAAUUGACGGGGGCCCGCACAAGCGGUGGAGCAUGUGGUUUAAUUCGAUGCAACGCGAAGAACCUUACCUGGUCUUGACAUCCACGGAAGUUUUCAGAGAUGAGAAUGUGCCUUCGGGAACCGUGAGACAGGUGCUGCAUGGCUGUCGUCAGCUCGUGUUGUGAAAUGUUGGGUUAAGUCCCGCAACGAGCGCAACCCUUAUCCUUUGUUGCCAGCGGUCCGGCCGGGAACUCAAAGGAGACUGCCAGUGAUAAACUGGAGGAAGGUGGGGAUGACGUCAAGUCAUCAUGGCCCUUACGACCAGGGCUACACACGUGCUACAAUGGCGCAUACAAAGAGAAGCGACCUCGCGAGAGCAAGCGGACCUCAUAAAGUGCGUCGUAGUCCGGAUUGGAGUCUGCAACUCGACUCCAUGAAGUCGGAAUCGCUAGUAAUCGUGGAUCAGAAUGCCACGGUGAAUACGUUCCCGGGCCUUGUACACACCGCCCGUCACACCAUGGGAGUGGGUUGCAAAAGAAGUAGGUAGCUUAACCUUCGGGAGGGCGCUUACCACUUUGUGAUUCAUGACUGGGGUGAAGUCGUAACAAGGUAACCGUAGGGGAACCUGCGGUUG